CACAGGGGUGAAAGUGAAGAAGUAAAACAGCAGCUCACCAAAAUUAUAUUCCCAGAUCGCUUCUACUUUGCUAAAUUGGAAUUCAAUCACAACCACUGAGAGAGAUUACUAACUAUCUAAUAUCUAUACCCAAUGCCGCACUUGGCUCAGCCACAUGUAAAGAACACUGAUGCAGCAAGCAUCAUACAAAAUAAGGGAAAAAAGGGGGGGAAAAA
rnacentral:lncRNA from 1 species